rnacentral:tRNA from 1 species
GGGGCGAUAAGAUAAUGGUAAUCUGCUGUACUUGCACUACUGAAAUGAUAGUUCGAUUCUAUCUCACUCCA